UACGUAGGGUGCGAGCGUUGUCCGGAAUUAUUGGGCGUAAAGAGCUCGUAGGCGGCUUGUGGCGUCGGAUGUGAAAGCCCGGGGCUUAACUCCGGGUCUGCAUUCGAUACGGGCAGGCUAGAGUUCGGUAGGGGAGAUCGGAAUUCCUGGUGUAGCGGUGAAAUGCGCAGAUAUCAGGAGGAACACCGGUGGCGAAGGCGGAUCUCUGGGCCGAUACUGACGCUGAGGAGCGAAAGCGUGGGGAGCGAACAGG
rnacentral:rRNA from 1 species